rnacentral:lncRNA from 1 species
GGUAAUAUCUCGUUUUUGAGCUGCUAUUUCCCAGAUGCAUCAUUUUGGGGGUAUUAGAGAUCAUGACUUUGGAUGUAUUGGGGUUUAGAGGUAAGAUCUGAGGUUGCUACCUCAGAUUUGGAAUGGAGAAGUGUUGGAAUGCAUGAAAGUCCCUGUGUUGAGUGUUGGAUGAAGCUAUCUUGUCCCAAACCUUAGCCCUGAUGUGCAAAAUGCAUAGAUCUCUUUGGAUUCACGUAAAGUUUGCUACUUUACGUGAUGGAUGAGUUGUAGGAGGCUAGAUCUAUGUUUUGGAUCAAUUGCAUGGCCUGGAAUGCUUCUGUAUGGAUUCAGACCGGUGGUACUCGGCGAGUCACAUGGGUGUACUCGACGAGUUGCUUGAAGAUGAGCUGGAACUCGACGAGUUGGAAGAACAACUCGGCGAGUUGGAUGAAGAUGGUCUGGAACUCGGCGAGUUGUAUGAACAACUCGGCGAGUAGGUUGAAGAUAGCCUUAGACUCGGCGAGUCUUGUCGAAGAGUCCCAAUAUUUUCUGGUUGAGUCGAGAAUCGGUGAGUCAAGGGAUGACUCGGUGAGUUGUGUGCGAGUGGACUCAGAGUUGUUGGACUCGGCGAGUCUCGGGGUGACUCGGCGAGUUAGGUCGCGGAUUGAGGGAAGUUCUGAGUAUGGGGACUCGGCGAGUCAUCGGGUUGACUCGGCGAGUAGAGUCAGUCAGGGGUUGACUUUGACCUUGUCCAAGGGUUGACCAGUUGUCUUUCAGGGGUAUUUUGGUAAUUAAGGGUAUUUAUUGAGUGAGUGUGUUGGUGUCCAGUGGAGGAGUUCGUGUCGGAGCUUGGAGCAGCGGGAUCUUAUCCUUUCAGCCGGCAGUUUCGAGGUGAGUUAUCCUCACUAUAUCAACAGGGUCUAAGGCACCAAUGCCGGCCCUUAUCGGAUUGAGAUCCGGGUAGUUGUUGUUAUGUUGCUGCUUUGAUAUGUUUGCAUCCUGUGAGUUAGGAUGGUAUAUGUUAGAGACCUGAUUGAGAUUGGUAUCCUGAGAGAUAGGGAGAUGCUUUGUUAGUGACCUGUUAGGUCGGUAUCCUGGUUAGGAUGAUGAUAUGUUAUGUGAUCUGUUNNNNNNNNNNNNNNNNNNNNNNNNNNNNNNNNNNNNNNNNNNNNNNNNNNNNNNNNNNNNNNNNNNNNNNNNNNNNNNNNNNNNNNNNNNNNNNNNNNNNNNNNNNNNNNNNNNNNNNNNNNNNNNNNNNNNNNNNNNNNNNNNNNNNNNNNNNNNNNNNNNNNNNNNNNNNNNNNNNNNNGGGCGGACCAAUCACACUUUAGACUCGAGGUUUAUGGCUAGACUCAGAGGGUGGACCAGGUGGACUGUAGGCCGGUGCGGUAGACUAGUCACACAGUAGACCCGAAGUGCAUGGUUGUUCUAUGAUCUGAUGUAUUAAGGCAUGUUAUGCAUGUAUGGUGUUAGUGGUUGGUAUUUUGGGGAUAUCUCACUAAGCUUUCGGGCUUACAGUUGUGAUUUUAUGUUUUUCAGGUUCUUCAGGAGACAGUGGCAAGGCGAAGGCGUGAUCGUACCGCUCCUCAUGAUUUUAUAGUGAUGUGAUUCUGGGAAUACGUUAAAUGUUUUGUAUCGAAAACCUUUUUGUAAAGAUUUUAAUGAAAUCGAGCUGUUUUGAAAAAUUUAAAAUUGGUUGUAUUUUUCGGUCGUUACAAGUUGGUAUCAGAGCCUUGGUUUGAGUGAAUUGGAGGAACAUUCAUGUGACUCGAGUCUCAAAUCGAGGAGAGUUUUCAAAAGAGUAUUUAAAAUGGUUUUCAAAAUGAGUAACGGAAGACGCGGAGGUACGAUCAGCCGGAGCCAGUAAGUAACCCCCAAAAUACCAUGCAUGUUAUUUGUUUUUGAGCUUUGAUAGAACAACAUGCUAGUGAUAGGCUAGGGAUCUUCAUGAUUUCAUUAUAUGUUGCCCGAUUUGUGAUGCCUGCAGCCUACGGUUCCUUAUGGGAAAUUUUCAGAGUUCCUCUAGUGGUGAGGGUAGAGCGUUGUUGUGCAUGUUUCUCUAGGGUGUUGUGGUAGUACUUCAUACAAAUAUGGGUAGGUGUGGAAGGUAGUAUGGGCCCAUACUACUGAAAGCACAGGACCUAUACGCGUAUCUGGGAAACCAUGAUCUCUAGGGUCAGGUUGAGAGAGUUGGAUCCUAGGUUAGUGGGAAGAGUCUGAGAUUUUGUGUGGUGUUUGUUUUCAGUAUGGAGAUUCCGAGACAUGAUGAGAGUGAAUCUGAAUCAGGAUCAGGAGCAGGAGAGAGAGUUCCGGGCGGAUCUGUACCGCCCGAGGUUAUCGGUCAGAUGAGCACGGGCGAGUUGGAUACGAGGAUUCGUGAGAUCCUGCGUGAGGAGAUUGCUGAGUUGUUCCGUGCUGAGUUGCCAGAGCUGUUUGGGUCGAUUAAGAUCGCCAUGGUUGAGUAUUUUGAUGAGCGCUAUGCAGCUCUCACAGAGACGGCUGCCGCGGCAGCUACAACGGCUGUAGCAGCGGCAGGGGGAGGAGCUAGUCGGGGUUUUCAGUAUCGGGACUUCGAUAAUAUGAAGCCUCCCACCUUCGAUGGAGUUCAGGACACGAUUGUUGCUAUGAGAUGGUUAUCAGACAUGGAGGGGUGUUUCUUCACGUGUUCAUGCCCUGCUGAUCAGAGGGUGAGGUGUGCUCUGAACCUGUUGAGGCUCAGAGUGAAGGAUUGGUGGAGAUUGACCACGGGGUCAUAUUCAGAUGAGCAGAGGGUUGCGGUAUCAUGGGAUCAGUUUAGAGAGAUGUUCAACACUCGUUAUGUUCCGCAAGUGGAGAGGGAGAGAUUGGCUCAAGAGUUCGUUGAGCUGAAGUAGGGUUCGGAGUCGGUGACUGAGAUCACCAGGAUGUUCACUGAGAGGGCGAUGUUUUGCCCAGAGUUCGCUUUGGAGCAGGCUCAGAUGUCUCGAUAUCUGAGCAUGCUCAAGAGGGAUAUUAGACAGUCUGUGUCUACGCAGAAGUGCGAGACCUUGUUGGAGUCAGGAGGCCUNUUAGAGAUUGAGUUGCAGUUGCGUGAGCUGAGGCAGGCUCCGGUGCAGUUGCAGCCGGCGCCGAAACAAUCCAAGACCGUUGAUGUUAGAGUGGGGUAUCUGAGCAGCCACACUUGUGGGAAGUGUGGGAGGGGUCACACCGGAGUUUGUAGGUCCGGUGGUGCAUGCCGCAAGUGUGGAAAGGAGGGGCACUAUGCGAGGGAGUGUCGGCAGUCAGCGCCGGUUCGGGAUUUGAGGAUUUGUUAUCAUUGUCAUCAGGUUGGACAUUUGAGGGUCAACUGUCCACAGCUUGCUGCGGGACCGAUGCAGGCUCCAACACCGGCCACUUUGAGAAUCACUGGUGGAGGUCAGGGUGGAGCGGAGCCCCCAAGGGCUCAGGGUCGUGCUUAUCAGCUUGCGACAGAGGAGGUCAGAGUAGUGUCGGAUGCAGCUGCGGGUAUGUUUCUUUCUUGAUAUCUAAUUAUCUCGUGAAUAUUGUGGUGUAUUGUCUAUGUGGUGGUAUUUUGUUUUGUUUUCGAUGUGGUAUUCGUCAUUUUGCGGGUUGUGGUUUUGGUCAUGGGUUAUUGUUUUGGGAAUUCCGUUGGUUAUCAUUCAUGAGGGUUAUUACUGGAAACCCGACAUUGGGUUGUAGGCCGGGUGGCAUCUGCCUUCUGAGGAGUGGUUAGAUGCAGAUCGAGUUUCUUUCGAGCAGGUUGAUCAGGGUUGAUGUGAGAUCUCAUUGAGGUUGUUUAUGCUUGUGGGAAGCAGUCCGCAUGUAAGUAUUUUCUUUGUGCGAGAGUUGUUCUGGGAGGCCGGUGAAGGCGACCGGUGGUUGUUAGUUAGUGCCUAAGUGGGGGAGAAUUGGAGAAUUCUCCGGGAGAUCGACGAGUAUUCGAGAGUGCUUAGCUGUUGGGAUUCAGCAAGUGUUCUGUCAGCCCAGAGUAUAGGCUGAUAGGGGUAAGUGUCGGGCAUGCGAGGCGGGAUACAGACCUAGGGCAUUUGAAUGUGGAGGGCCUGGGAGCAGGCCGGGGUCGAGUAUGUAUGAUGGAGUUAGAGUUCAGAACCCCUAGAGGGCUAGAACGGUAUGCAUGGGAGGAUUUCCAAGGGGGAUAGCUCGGAAUGUUGAAUGAUAGUUGAGCGGUCCGGAUAGACUGAAGGCCGGUAGGCGUACCAGUCAGGCCGAAGGCUCGGAGAACGGUCCAGCCAAACUGAAGGCACUGAGAGCGGUCCAGAUUGGCUGAAGGUUCUGAGAGUGGUCCAGAUGGGCUGAAGGCCUGGUGAGGCGGUCUAGUCAUGCUGAAGACUCUGCAGGUAUUGUUGGAUCAGUUUGAGGAUAUGGAUUGUGUAUGUUGUAGUGUGAUUGCAUUAGAAGGUCUGGCCCCAGGUAGUAAUCUUGAUUAGUGGAGAUAGUGCAUGGGCCUGAGAGUCCCUGCGAUGAGAGUCAGAGUAUGUGUGUUGGAUGGAUAGCGGAUACGCUAAAAAGGGUGGUGUAACGUUGGGUGAGCAUCAUGGCACUCGUCGGAGUGACAAUGUGGUCAAGUGGAUUCCUUGGUAAGGAUAAGAGAGAGGUGUGUAACUCCAUGAGGGAGUGCAAGUUCACGGAAGUGAAAGCGGCAAAGCAGAGUUAUGAAUAGAGUAAUUCGAGUAUGGUUAUUGAGCAGCGUGUUUGCGGCAGUGGAAUAAAAGCUCAUCCGGUUUAGGAUGUUUGCUGAGAUCGCGGAGGGAAUUCCGCAGAUGUAGAGCCAAGAGACUCAGAAGGGAUGCAGUGAGAGAGUCUUGGGCUCUCAGUGUGAUUCUGAUCAGGGUAUUGGAUAUGUAUUAGUGGUUCAUCCUGGGGGAUGUUGGAGGAUAUCAUUAGUGUAUCGGGUUUUCCCAACCUGAGGGUGCUGGAGCAAGUUCAGUAUGUGUAUGUGAUUGCAAGAGAAGACUCGUGGGAGUCGCUCUGAGAUUGAGAAUGGGUCUUUCCGUCAUCACGGAAUGGAUAGAGUGGGAUUCGGAUCGGGGAUCCGAUGGUUCAUGGCUUUCUAGCCCUUAUGGGUCGAGUGAUUGUUGAGAUUUGGGGUAGUGAUGCGUCAUGGGUAAUUCUUGGUUGUUGAGUGCGAUUAUCAGAGGGUACAGCCGGUGCCCGACUCGAGACGGUGGUCAGGACACCAUAAGGAAAGAGAAAGUGUGUUUCAGUUUCGAUAGGUAUGCCUUGAGGGACUUGGCCCGGUUAAGGCCAGGUGGCGUGAUGUGGGAGUAUCUUUGGGUUUGAAUUGCUGUAGGCUUCGAGGACGAAGCCUAAUUUAAGUGGGGGAGAAUUGUAACAUCCCGAAUUAUCAAGAGUAGAGUUGAAGGGCUAAAAGAGUAUANCACAAUGUAAAGUGGAUGUAACAUCCCGAAAUGUCAAAGGUAGAGUUGAAGGGCUAAAAGAGUAAAUGGAUCAAGGGAACUCAGCGAGUCCAUGGAUGGACUCGGCGAGUAGAGUCGCGAUUUGGUCGCGUGUUAAGUAGCCGACUCGGCGAGUCAAUGAGAUGGACUCGGCGAGUAGGCGCUGAGUGGAGAAAACCCUAAUUCUCGGGGUUGAGCCCUAUAUAAAGAACAUUAUGUUUCCUUCCCAGCCUCUUUAUCACCCCUUGAGUCCCAGAAACCCUAAUUUCGUGGAGAAACCCCAUUGUUGAGCAAAUUGGAGCUUGGAGAGGUGGUUGUUGAAGAGAUAUUAGAGAAGAAGAGGCUUGGAGCAAGGAGCUUUGCUUGGAAUUGAGUUUCAUUGCAGUUGGUGCAUUCUUUUGAGGUAAUAUCUCGUUUUUGAGCUGCUAUUUCCUAGAUGCAUCAUUUUGGGGGUAUUAGAGAUUAUGACUUUGGAUGUAUUGGUGUUUAGAGGUUAGAUCUGAGGUUGCUACCUCAGAUCUGGAAUGGAGAAGAGUUGGAAUGCAUGAAAGUCCCUGUGUUGAGUGUUGGAUGAAGCUAUCAUGUCCCAAACCUUAGCCCUAAUGUGCAAAAUGCAUAGAUCUCUUUGGAUUCACGUAAAGUUUGCCACUUUACGUGAUGGAUGAGUUGUAGGAGGCUAGAUCUAUGUUUUGGAUCAAUUGCAUGGCCUGGAAUGCUUCUG